GGGGCUGAUUCUGGAUUCGACGGGAUUUGCGAAACCCAAGGUGCAUGCCGAGGGGCGGUUGGCCUCGUAAAAAGCCGCAAAAAAUAGUCGCAAACGACGAAAACUACGCUUUAGCAGCUUAAUAACCUGCUUAGAGCCCUCUCUCCCUAGCCUCCGCUCUUAGGACGGGGAUCAAGAGAGGUCAAACCCAAAAGAGAUCGCGUCGAAGCCCUGCCUGGGGUUGAAGCGUUAAAACUUAAUCAGGCUAGUUUGUUAGUGGCGUGUCCGUCCGCAGCUGGCAAGCGAAUGUAAAGACUGACUAAGCAUGUAGUACCGAGGAUGUAGGAAUUUCGGACGCGGGUUCAACUCCCGCCAGCUCCACCA
rnacentral:tmRNA from 1 species